rnacentral:snRNA from 1 species
GCACUUACCUGGCAGGGGGGACACCAUGAUCAGGCAGGUGGUUUUCCCAGGGCGAGGCUCAUCCAGGUGUGCUGACCCCUGCAAUUUCCCCAAAUGCGGGAAACUCGACUGCGUAAUUCCUGAGAAUAGGAAUUUUCUCCCUU